rnacentral:rRNA from 1 species
AACGUAGGUGGCAAGCGUUGUCCGGAAUUACUGGGUGUAAAGGGAGCGCAGGCGGGCUGGUAAGUUGAAUGUGAAAACCAUAGGCUCAACCUAUGGAUUGCGUUCAAAACUACUGGUCUUGAGUGAUGGAGAGGCAGGCGGAAUUCCCAGUGUAGCGGUGAAAUGCGUAGAUAUUGGGAAGAACACCGGUGGCGAAGGCGACUUGCUGGGCAGCAACUGACGCUGAGGCGCGAAAGCCAGGGGAGCAAACGGGAUUAGAUACCCCCGUAGU